UAUGAUGGUAAAAUAAAUAUUUGUUUCCACUAACUAAAUAUUUGGUAAUCGGUACUAAAUAUUUCUUUGGUAAGUUUUGUCGGUAGAUGGCUUGUUUGGAAUUGAAAACUACGUAUGUAUUUGUGGGAAAUAUCAGUGUAGCGUAUGUGUGUGAAUAUAUCACCGCUUUCACAGUAUAGUGAAUUUCGUCUCAAUCGCAGUUAGUGUUGUGAUUUUCAAAUCAAUUUAGUGAUUUUAAAAACAUUAAUUUUGAAUUAUUUCAACUGAAUUAUUUCAAAGUAUGGAAGAGCUCUUAAAAUCCUGGAAUUUGGAUGAAUUGUUCCCUAUUUUAUGUGAUAACAGACUCUAUGAAGUUGGAAUUACUUCCAGUUCUGAAUUUCCCAGAAACUGAAGUGAUAAGUGAAAUACCAAUAGAGUUCAUUCAGGGACAUAGUUCAGUUUAAAUUAUUGACUCUGAAAUUGAUAAUUUUCCAAAAAAAAAAAAAUUAAAAGAGUGUCUAAGUUUUUUGACUUCGAUUUGACUACAGUACUCCAAAACCAUCCUGUUGGAAAAGAACUUUUGUUUUUUAGUGGAAAAAAAAAUAUAUCUUUAGAAGCUCCUUGGAUAUCUGUCUUAUGUGACAUCAUCGUUGUACAUUGUCUUAGACUCAACAUAACUCUCACUAACGAAGAUAUUGAAGAGUUAGCGGGAAUAAUUGUCGAGCUUUUUCCAGCUGAGUGCACUCAAACUUUUUAUGUGCCUCCCGUUAAAAAAAAAGAUUCAUUACGUAAUGCCAGUGAAAUCUCAAAAUGAAAACUGACUGAUAAAUACCGUAAUACACUGGCAUUAAUUAAAACACUACGAAAAGUAUUAGGCAUUAAAAAUACUGAUGAUAGUCAUGUGAUUGCAAGUGAUAGUGAUAAUCCUGGAGUGGCCAGUAAAAACUGGCUGAAGCAUCACCGAGACGAACUUUUUGUUACAUUGGACAUCAUCUUAUGAACUCAGAAGAUCGGAAGUGAUAUCUAACAAGUAUUUAAGUGCUACAGAUAUACUCAAUGAUUGGCCAACCUUAAAAGAGUCAACAUAUCAAUACUGAUUUUGAAAAGGCAUACCCUGAUCAUUGUAUUAAUUUAAGUGAGCGUUGGCUAUUAAAGUUCAAUCAGCUGGUGGAUUUUUCAUCGGACAAACUAACUUUUGAACAAAAAAAUAAGUUAAAGUUGCUCGAAGAAAGUGAUAAAAUUGUUUCAUCAUUAAGUAAAUAUAUUAUUCAGCUUGAUAUUUUCUUAAAUCUGGUGAUUCUUAAAGGUCGUAAGAAAUUGAAGAACUUGAAAGCUGAGAAUUCUAGAGAAAGUGUUUACAUACACGUAAAAAUUCCUGGUGAUAUUGGAAAAGCUUGUGAGGCUAAAACUAACCAAAAAGCUAAAUCAAAGACAACGCUUCAACCCUUUUUAAUUGUAGUUGGACCUAAUGAAUUAGAUUUACGUAAAGUUUAUAUUCAAAUCGACAGCUUCCGAUAUGAAGCCGACUCAUUUACUGAAGCAUUAGAUUUAUUGUUUAAAUUUUAUUUAAUUUUUCAACUGGCCUAUCCAUUUGAAAGUGAAUGCUUCUGGUACUUCCUGCAAUGGGCUCUUUAUGAAAUAAAAACAAAGGCAGACGUGCAGAUACCAUUUAUCUUCAAUAUGCUAAAUAAAUUAAAUAAGAUUCAAUUGAAGUAAACUUUUAUUGUCAAAAAAUUUAAUAAAAUUAUCAGUGAUAAUUUAUCACAUAUUAUUUUAAUUGUUCAGUCAGAUGAAAUAUGUUUUAAUCAAAGUAAAAUAGUAAAUUAAAAAAAUUUUCUAUAAUUAUUACGUUUUAAUGUUAUUAAGGCUUUGAUACGUUUAAAUGUUUGUAAUUAAUUGUUAUAUGUCAUUUUAUUUGUUUAAUUAGAUAAUAAAAAACUAAAAAUGGAUAAUGCUCAGAGUAAUGUUGAACAAGAAAUUCUAAAAUUUGUGAGUAAAAUGUAUGGGAACCCAACAAUGACUCAAACAUUGAUUCAUCAAAUUAUACAAGAAUUUCAACUGCUAUCAGAUAAAAUUUUAGAACAUACAUUAAGAAAGGUAAAAGAAGUUAUACCCUGUGAGUAUCAUGAGUCUAUCGAACGCUGUUUAAAAAUAAAUUAUUUCGAAAAUUUUGAUUCCAAUUGGAGGUGCAUGCAGCAGUUGAAAAAGUCUAAAUACUAUGUUGCUCCACGUCAAUUUGAGAUUGGUGAAAUUAGCGACAACCAAACAGUAAAAAAUGAGGUUAUUUGGACUAAGAAACCUUGCUUCGGACAAGAGAUUUCUCUUCGUAGUGUAUUGAAGAUUUUUUUGGAGUUGCCUCAUGUUUACAGGGUUAUAAUUAAUUUUAUUGACAGUGGAUUUAAAAAAAAUGGCCAAGGAAUUUACACAAGUUUAUUUCAGGGUACAGUAUGGAGAAAUAUUUCCGAAAUAUUUUAAGGAAAAAUUGUUAUACCUCUAUAUCUGUACUAUGACGAUUUUAAAAUAAAUAAUCCAUUGUCUACGUCAGCCGGAAUUUAUAAAGUUGGACGUUUAUACUGUUUAAUAGCUUCGUUACCACCACAAUUUGCGUCAACAAUUGAAAAUAUUUUCUUAGCUCAAUUAUUCUAUAAUUCAGAUUAUAAAGAAUUUGGAGCGGAAAGGUGUUUUGCAGAAAUAAAAACGGAGUUCAAUUAUUUAGCUGAUAAAGGAAUCAAAAUUAAUAUCGAUGGUACAGACUAUAACGUCUAUUUUGUUUAAUUGGUGUCUUAGGUGAUAACUUGGCGUUGAACAGUCUUUUGAGCUUUAACGAGAGUUUUAUAAGUGAAUAUUAUUGUCAAUUCUGUCAAGCACCUAAAAGUGAAGCCCAAAAAUUAACAUUAGAAAAUGAAAAUAUUCUAAGAAAUAAAAGCAAUUUUGAAACAGAUUUAUUGAAACGUUGCAAUGGUGUCAAAAAUCCAUAUGUUUUAAAUGAAAUAAAAUUUUUUCAUAAUACUUGCAACUGGACAAUUGAUAUUAUGCACGAUUUAUACUUAGGCAUAUGUCGGUACGACAUGGCAAAAAUCAUUAAGCAUUGCAUUAGUAAUAAAUAUUUUACUUUAAGUCAUUUAAAUGAUAGAUUAAAAUUCUUUGAUUACUGUGAAGCUGAUUGUGGGAAUAAAAUAUCAGCAAUAACUGGGAGUCAUGUUACAAAAGAGCACAUAAUUAUUACAGCAGCAGAAAUGUCUUAUUUGGUAGCGUAUUUUGGAAUACUAAUAGGUGAUUUAAUUCCGCCAGAUGAUUUUCGUGGCAGUUGUACACUCACUUGUUUGAUAUAAUAAAUAUAGUUACAUCUCCAAUUAUGUCAAAUGAUGAUAUAAUUUAUCUCCGUGAAUUGAUAAAACAUCAUCACAAAUUGAAUUUGAAAAAGUUUAAAGGUCAUUUAACAGCUAAAUUUCACAAUUUAGUACACUAUCCAACUAUAAUAAAGAUUCUAGGGCCACCAAAAUUCUACUCAUGUUCACGAUCUGAAGCUUUUCAUAAGAUAUCUAAACAUCAUGCUCAUGUUGUAAAUUACCGUAUCAAUAUAUUAUACACUCUCGCUAAAAAACAGUUAGGUUUGUGUGAUAAAUUUAUACACACUGUAAAAAAAAUUGUUUGAAUUUUCAAAGAUUGUAUAUAACGCAAUAAACACAUACAUUUGUGCUUGAAAUUUCAUUACUAAUUUCAUAUAUAAUUUAAAAUACACGUUUUUGAAUUUUCAAAUUAACAC